UAGAUAUGGGCCUGAAGUGAUUUGGAAA
rnacentral:sRNA from 1 species